UCUCAAUUUAAUACUAAAAGA
rnacentral:piRNA from 1 species